ACUCCUACGGGAGGCAGCAGUGGGGAAUAUUGGACAAUGGGCGCAAGCCUGAUCCAGCAAUGCCGCGUGAGUGAUGAAGGCCUUAGGGUUGUAAAGCUCUUUUACCCGGGAUGAUAAUGACAGUACCGGGAGAAUAAGCUCCGGCUAACUCCGUGCCAGCAGCCGCGGUAAU
rnacentral:rRNA from 1 species